UCAUGAUUGCAGGGGUAACUCAAACCAUGCCUUCGUCUAAAUCUUGCUUCUAGCCUUCACCACCUCACCAGCACAGUAUUCUCUGGAUCCUAUUCUAGUUUCCUGAGGGGGAAUGCAGGUCCAGGACUGCUUGCACUCUUUUACCAGACCUUAUGAUAAGGAUCUGCAAACCUGUGCAUAUACAGAAUGUAACAGACAGAAUCGAAAUGAAGUCAUGAGCAGGCAGUAAUGAUUUUAUGGGAAUUCCAUGAUGGACACUUGUUUCCACUGCCUGGAUUAGUAAUAUUCCUCAUACUACUUGUUGCAGAGCUGAGGGCUGCAAAGUCUGUCUGCCGGUCUGGGUCCUCAACAGCCUGCUCAGAGUAUGUAAGGAAC